rnacentral:ncRNA from 1 species
CCCCCUGAAUUUAAGCAUAUAAAUAAGCGGAGGAAAAGAAACCAACAGGGAUUCCCUUAGUAGCAGCGAGCGAACCGGGAUGAUCCCAGCGCCAAAUUCCGCACUCUUUAGGUAUUGGAAAAUGUGGCGUAUGGGAGUGAGCGUCCCGGAGUUUGACGCUGGAGCAAGUCCCCCUGACCGUUGCUGUUACCAACGCCAUCUUGAUGGGAGAUCUUAUCAAGAUGGCCUUGGUGUGAGGCCCAUAGCUGCUAGGUCUGCUUCAGAUGCGAUCUCCUGGGAGUCGGGUUGCUUGGAAGUGCAACCCUAAUUGGGUGAUAAACUCCACUUAAGGCUAAAUACUGCCGUGAGACCAAUAGCAAACAAGUACUGUGAGG